CACGUAGGGGGCGAGCGUUGUCCGGAAUCAUUGGGCGUAAAGAGCUCGUAGGCGGCUCAGUAAGUCGGGUGUGAAACCCCCAGGCUCAACCUGGGGACGCCACCCGAUACUGCUGUGGCUAGAGUCCAGUAGGGGAGCGUGGAAUUCCUGGUGUAGCGGUGAAAUGCGCAGAUAUCAGGAGGAACACCAGCGGCGAAGGCGGCGCUCUGGGCCGGAACUGACGCUGAGGAGCGAAAGCGUGGGGAGCAAACAGG
rnacentral:rRNA from 1 species